rnacentral:rRNA from 1 species
GACGAACGCUGGCGGCGUGCUUAACACAUGCAAGUCGAACGGUGAAGCUCCAGCUUGCUGGAGUGGAUCAGUGGCGAACGGGUGAGUAACACGUGAGCAACCUGCCCCUGACUCUGGAAUAAGCGCUGGAAACGGCGUCUAAUACUGGAUACGAGAAGGGUCCGCAUGGGAACUUUCUGGAAAGCUUUUCGGUUGGGGAUGGGCUCGCGGCCUACCAGCUUGUUGGUGGGGGAAUGGCUCACCAAGGCGACGACGGGUAGCCGGCCUGAGAGGGCGACCGGCCACACGGGGACUGAGGCACGGCCCAGACUCCUACGGGAGGCAGCAGUGGGGAAUAUUGCACAAUGGGCGAAAGCCUGAUGCAGCGACGCCGCGUGAGGGAUGACGGCCUUCGGGUUGUAAACCUCUUUCAGCAGGGAAGAAGCGAAAGUGACGGUACCUGCAGAAGAAGCACCGGCUAACUACGCG